GUACAAGGAACUGGAAGGAGACCCUGAUAGCUGGAGCACAAGAACUGGGGAAGCAUGGGGCGAGACUGCACAGAGCCUUGGAGGCCAUGGAGCCCCAGAGUAAUGUAGCCUGGUCCUGCCUCCAACAGUGGUCGGAGCUAUUGGUUUCCCCCAGACUUCACCAGAAUUGGAUAUAAUCAUCUAACCCUUUUUGUUGUGGCCAUCAAUUUGAAUAUGAUCCUGAUGGGUGGAGCUCCAGCAGCUAUCUUGCGUUCAUGAAGUGACUUUGACAAUGGAAACCGCUUGCCGAGAAUGGCAGAACAGAAAGAUAGAAGAUGCCAGAAUCUUUGAUGACAUCUUGACAUUUUUCUACAGCCCUGGCCACCCCUUGAUUUCACAGUACAUGAAAGAAAAAUAGGCCUUAUCUUUCA